rnacentral:rRNA from 1 species
GACGAACGCUGGCGGCGUGCUUAACACAUGCAAGUCGAACGGAAAGGCCCUGCUUUUGUGGGGCGCUCGAGUGGCGAACGGGUGAGUAACACGUGAGUAACCUGCCCUUGACUUUGGGAUAACUUCAGGAAACUGGGGCUAAUACCGGAUAGGAGCUCCUGCUGCAUGGUGGGGGUUGGAAAGUUUCGGCGGUUGGGGAUGGACUCGCGGCUUAUCAGCUUGUUGGUGGGGUAGUGGCUUACCAAGGCUUUGACGGGUAGCCGGCCUGAGAGGGUGACCGGCCACAUUGGGACUGAGAUACGGCCCAGACUCCUACGGGAGGCAGCAGUGGGGAAUAUUGCACAAUGGGCGGAAGCCUGAGGCAGCAACGCCGCGUGCGGGAUGACGGCCUUCGGGUUGUAAACCGCUUUCGCCUGUGACGAAGCGUGAGUGACGGUAAUGGGUAAAGAAGCACCGGCUAACUACGUG